GAUGAAGAACGCAGCGAAAUGCGAUAAGUAAUGCGAAUUGCAGAAUUCAGUGAGUCAUCGAAUCUUUGAACGCACAUUGCGCCCUGUGGUAUUCCGCAGGGCAUGCCUGUUCGAGCGUCAUUUCAACCCUCAAGCUCUGCUUGGUGUUGGGCCCUGCCCGCUGCGGCCGGCCCUAAAGACAGUGGCGGUGCCGCCUGGCCCUGAGCGUAGUACAUCUCUCGCUCCAGUGCCCGGUGGUAGCCUGCUAGAACCCCAACUCUCGUGGUUGACCUCGGAUCAGGUAGGGAUACCCGCUGAACUUAAGCAUAUCAAUAAGCGGAGGA
rnacentral:misc_RNA from 1 species